GAGGGUCCCACGAAGAGGACGUGGCCUUCCUGGAAGGGGCUGCGGAACGAGCACUCCAGAAGAAAUCAGUCCUGACCUCGCUGGCCUUUGGCCAAGGACCAUUGAGCAGGAGCUGCCAUCUUCCACAAUGGCUCCCCACCCCCCGGGGAGGGAGCACCUGCGGCGCUGCGGCAUGCCGCCUCAUCCUGCCUCGGGCCUAGGAUCGCCAUCAGGGAAGGGCGCCCGGGCCAGGGGAGCAUCAUUUCACAGCUGAGCUGCUCCGAGGCAGGCUGGCCAUUACGGAAAGCAGCUGGGCUACUUGGCUUUCCGUGGCCGUCAUUUAGGGACUGCAAUGGCUUUUUAACUGACUUUCCAAUAUUUUUCUCGUUAAGGUCUCUUCCUGCUCUCUCUCCUCUCUCAACAGUCACUUAACUGCACUUAGUGGCAGCAGGAAGGGAUGGAGCGAGGCAACUUCUCCUCCUCACCAGUCCAGCCUUUUAGAGGUCCUCCGGGACACCCACCAACAAUCAUUCUUUCUACUCUUCUAUAUUGACCCCAAAUUGAGGCAGAAGACCAGGCCCUUCCGGUGCCGACCCAGCGCGUCUGACCCGCAGUGGGAGCCGCCACGAGGCAGGCGGAGCCAAGCGGCCGUAAUUCAGAGUCUCGCAGCUCUGCUGUAAAUCUGUUCCGUCAUCACCUGAGCAAGACUUCCCAAAAAGCGAUGGUCGGGCUCUCGGGCAGCCCUCCAAUGACGGGGAGCUCACUUCCGCCCUAGAUCUCUGAGGCGGAAGGCACAGCUCGAAAAGAGGUGAUUCAACUUGGUUUACUCGCUGCGGCGGUGGCGGUGGCGGUGGCGUCUGCGGGGCUGGUCAAAGUAUCUCCUUUGAGGCGAUGAAUUCUGGUCUUUAUGUAGACCAAUCGACCGCCGGUGAGAGAUUAGUGUAGACCUGUCACAGCUGUUUCCAUUCACCGACACCACACCGAUAAUCUCCAAAGAACCAAGGCAAGCUUUCGCUCACAUCUCCUGGUGCUGAGACAGACCAAGGAGAAGGACAUCACACUCCUUCAUCGAUUUUUCUCCCAUGUUUCCUUUAAUGACACCAAUAAAAAGAAUCAUCUGAGAAUCAUAUCGUGCUUCAAAGUUAACAAAAUACUUUACACUUGUUCCUCCUGACUAUCCUCUGGAAAGGUUCUCCUGGAAGGAAUCAGCCAUCCUAUGUUGAGUCCUCUUUGGCAUGGGUCCCUUCCCAGAAGAAUGGUGAUAAAGGCAUCAAAUCCACUCCAUAUGAUUACAAAAGAAAUCAAAUACGUUGAAAUAAAGUUAUCAAAAUAUUUUAAAACCAAA